AACAAGGUACGGAUGUUAUGUUAUUCUGUCACCAAUGGUUUUGUUUUAUUUAUUUUUUACAAUUAGUUUUUCCAUGGUACAUAAUCAGACAUAUUUCAAUAUCUUACAUUGUUUAUAAAUAUCACUUUUCUACCCCCUCCUCCAGAUUUGGUGAAUGGACCAACCAGACCCUCAAGACUGCCAAUGGCAAGUCCCUUGAUUGGUUCCAAGAAGGGUGGGAGAACUACCUGAAGAUCACUGAAACCCCACCUGAUGUGGUGGAAGUUGUCAAACCAGAUCAGAACACGUUCGAGUACUACCUUCAGGCACGGACUGAGAAGGAUGUGGAGGUUUUUGACCAGUUGAGACUGAACAUGGACAAGGCGCAGGAGAAACAGAAGGGGAGUUACCGGAGCAGAAUCAAGAAGGGGACCAAGUGCUACGAC
ensembl:lncRNA